AUGUCCAAAACAAAACCUCCUCUGGGACAAUCAGAUCACAAUCUUGUUUUUCUCUGCUCAGAAUACAAACCACUUGUUCAGAGGCAACCUGUGACAAGAAGAACUGUGAGAAAAUGGUCACAGGACGCUGAAGAAGCCCUGCAGAGUUGUUUUGAGACCACAGAUUGGAUGACUCUCUGCCAAGGAUAUGAAGAGGACAUCAAUGCCAUGACUGGAUUUGUCACUGACUAUAUAAACUUCUGUGUGGACAACAUCAUACCCACCAGAACAGUGAGAUGCUUCGCUAAUAACAAACCCUGGAUCAGAAGUGAACUGAUGAAUCUGCUAAAUGAGAAAAAAAGAGCCUUCAAGGAGGGAGACAGGGAAUUAUUGAGGAGUAUACAGAAGCAACUGAAGAUCAAGAUCAGAGACAGCAAGGAGGCAUACAGGAAGAAGCUGGAGAACAAACUACAGAGGAACAAUCUCAGAGAUGUCUGGUCAGGGAUGAAGAAGAUCACAGGAUUCAAGCAAAGGAAAGAUUGCACAGAUGGCAGCCUGGACACAGUCAAUGAACUGAACAAGUUCUUCAAUAGGUUCAGUUCAGGAACAAACCCAGCAUCCUCCUCGCCUGUCCCCAGCCAAUCAGACAUCCCAUCCUCCUCUGAUCCAACAUUUUCCUGUCACACGCCAGCUCUUUUGUCCUCUAACACAGUCAUGGACUCUUCUGGUUCUAGAAAUCUGUCAUCAACCAAGUCAGGAGAUGCUGCUGCCCCAGUUACCUCCCCCUCCCACCUGUCUGUCUCUAGAAGUCAGGUGAAGAGGCAGCUGGAGAGACUGAACAGGAACAAGGCUGCAGGUCCAGAUGGUGUCAGCCCCAGGGUACUGAAGGUCUGUGCAGAGCAGCUCUGUGGGAUUCUGCAGCACCUCUUCAACCUCAGCCUGGCCCAGGAGAAGGUUCCAGUCCUGUGGAAGACAUCCUGCCUUGUUCCAGUUCCAAAGAAAACUCGCAAAUCAGUCAAUGACGACUACAGACCAGUUGCCUUGACAUCCCACAUCAUGAAGGUCCUGGAGAGACUCCUGUUGGUCCACCUGAAUAAGCAAACUAGAACAUAUCAGGACCCGCUGCAGUUUGCUUAUUGCCAUGGAGUUGGAGUUGAAGAUGCCAUCAUCCAGCUGCUUCAACCAACCCACUGUCAUCUGGACAAAGCAGGCACCACUGUCAGGGUCAUGUUCUUUGAUUUCUCCAGUGCAUUUAACACAAUCCAGCCUGAUGUACUUUGCCAGAAACUCCAGAAGACACAGGUGGGGGCCUCAACUAUCGCCUGGAUUAAAGACUACCUGACAAACAUACCACAGUUUGUGAGGCUGAAGAACUGCACAUCAAACCAGGCGAUCAGUAACAUUGGAGCACCACAGGGGACUGUACUUUCACCAUUCCUUUUCACCCUGUACACCUCAGACUUCCAGUACAAACCAGAGACCUGUCAUCUACAGAAAUACUCAGAUGACUCUGCAGUUGUCGGGUGUAUCAGAGAUGGACAGGAAGCUGAGUACAGAGAGCUGGUGGAGCGCUUUGUGGCAUGGUGUGGAAACAAUCAUCUGACCUUGAACGUGAACAAAACAAAGGAUGAUUUUAGACUUCAGAAGAAACAGGGUGGAGUCAAACACUGUUUCCAUCAUGGGAGAAGUGGAUGUGGUUGA
ensembl:lncRNA